AGCAGAGCGCCGCCGCGCUUAAGAGAGACAUGUUACCUCGCCGCUUCGUUUCCUUCUUCAGCACCGGCGGCGGAGCGCGUGGCUGCGGUCUCCGCAGGGUCCAAAAGCCCGUCCAACACCGGUGGCCGGAGCAAGAGAGGCUGGCGGGGGCAGCAGUGCCCGACCGGCCCAGGCUCCUGACAGGGGAGCGCGGGGGGCAGCCGUCCCCGCCGCCGGGGCGUUUCCUGAGCGGCUCUGCGGGCCCUGUGUCCGUCCGCCCCGGCAGCGCCGACGAGGAACCCCGCGGCUUUCCAGAAGCGCUCCUGGGUUUGUGUCAGAGGAGGCGCUUCCUGCGAGGAGCCGAAGGUUCCCAGAAGCUCACCUGGGACUCUCACCUGAGCGGGGAGCACCCGGGCUUGGGGCCUCUGGGGGUCGAGCUGAGGAAGAACCUCGCCGCCCGGUGGUGGGAGUCCGUGGUCGCGUCCAGGGAGCAAGUGCUGGGGGUGGAUGGCCCGCUCUGCCGCUCUCCCCUCGCGGGCCAAGUGCCGCCCGCGGAGGCUCUCCUUGCGCUGCGCCCGCGAGGCGUUCGGGAAAUGUUGGAGAAUGACCAGUUAAGCAAAGAGCAGGUGCUGGACUCUCUGAGGAAGAUGUUGGAGGCGUCUGGGGUGCUGCGGGACAGCCUCCUUCACGGUGCCUUACAGCAAUACAUUGAGUGCCUGGAACUGGUCAACAAGAGAUUGCCUUUUGGGGUUGCUCAGAUAGGAGUAUGUUUCCAUCCAGUAAGAAAUAAUGAAAACGAGAAUUACAUGAGAACAGGUGAAAGCACAAUGACUUCCCUAGUGUGGUACAGCUCUGCUAGAACUGCUGGACAGUGGCUGGACUACUGGUUACGUCAGCGUCUCCAGUGGUGGAGAAAGUUUGCAAUAAGCCCGUCUAGCUUCACCAGUAGUGAUCAUCAUGAUGAAGAAGGAAGAAGAAGAAGCCAUCUCUAUUAUAACUUUCCUUGGGGGAAGGAAGUCAUAGAAACUCUGAGCAAUCUAGGGGAUAAUGAACUGCUACAAAUGUAUGCAGGAAAAGAAUCCAGUUUGCAUGGUCGAGAUGGGAGGAAGAAUGUUGUUCCUCAUAUCCUAUCUGUGAGCGGCAAUCUGGACUGUGGAGUGUUAGCAUAUCUCUGUGAUGGUAUGCAGUUGGCUGAAAAUGCUUCAACAAGGAAGAAAGCUCUGCAGAGAAAGGUACUUAAACUUCACCCAUGUUUGACGCCAAUCAAAGUAGCUUUGGAUGUGGGAAGAGGCCCUACAAUAGAGCUGAGGCAGUGUUUCCUUCUCGUAGGUGUGCAAGGGAUUGUUCAAUGAAUUAUUAGAAAAUGGUAUUUCUGUUUGGCCUGGAUAUCUUGAAACCGUGCAGUCGUCACUGGAGCAGCUUUUUGCAAAGUAUGAUGAAAUGAGUAUCCUCUUCACAAUCCUUGUCAGUGAUACCACACUAGAGAAUGGUGUGGUCCAGCUAAGGAACAGAGAUACCACAAUGAAGGAAAUGAUGCACAUAUCCCGAUUAAAGGACUUCUUAACCAAGUACAUUUCAGCAGCUAAAAACAUCUGAGCUUACAAUAAAGACAAAUUCUCUCCUUC